CCUACGGGUGGCAGCAGUGAGGAAUAUUGGUCAAUGGCCGGAAGGCUGAACCAGCCAAGCCGCGUGAAGGACGAAGGUGCCAAGCAUUGUAAACUUCUUUUGUCAAGGAACAAAAUCAGGCUCGAGAGCCUGACCGAGGGUACUUGAAGAAAAAGCAUCGGCUAACUCCGUGCCAGCAGCCGCGGUAAUACGGAGGAUGCGAGCGUUAUCCGGAUUUAUUGGGUUUAAAGGGUGCGUAGGCGGACUGUUAAGUCAGCGGUAAAAGCCCGGGGCUCAACCCCGGCGAGCCGUUGAAACUGGCUGUCUAGAGAUGGCGAGAGGUAUGCGGAAUGCGCGGUGUAGCGGUGAAAUGCUUAGAUAGUGCGCAGAACUCCGAUUGCGAAGGCAGCAUACCGGCGCCAAUCUGACGCUGAGGCACGAAAGCGUGGGUAUCGAACAGGAUUAGAUACCCUUGUAGUC
rnacentral:rRNA from 1 species